rnacentral:sRNA from 1 species
CGCUCUCUGGGAGACCGGAGCAGGAGACAGCGGUGACAGGAGCAGCGGCCGGGAGCCCUUAGGGAGGCAGAGCCUGCAGCCAAUGCCCCAGGAGCCCUCGGUUCCAACCGAUGCCCCAGUGCCCACUGGCCCACGCCAUGCAGCCCCAGUCCGUUCUGCACAGCGGCUACUUCCACCCACUACUUCGGGCCUGGCAGACAGCCACCACCACCCUCAAUGCCUCCAACCUCAUCUACCCCAUCUUUGUCACGACGAGCGGGGUUCCGCAGCUGACUCUGAGGAGUCCCCAGCUAUUGAGGCAAUCCAUCUGUUGAGGAAGACCUUCCCCAACCUCCUGGUGGCCUGUGACGUCUGCCUGUGUCCCUACACCUCCCAUGGUCACUGCGGUGAGUUCCCUUCCUCCCACCAGCCCUGCUGCCACCCACACUCCUACUGCCCACUUCUCACCAGGGUGGGGACAGGCCAGGGCCCAAGGUGCUCCCCAAAACCCAGUCAUCUGUCCUGAAGGGCUCCUGAGUGAAAAUGGAGCAUUCCGGGCUGAGGAGAGCCGCCAGCG